GAUUAAAUGGCUGAAGUUUAGGCGUUAGAUUGUAAAUCUAUUUAUGAGAAUUAUCUCUUUAAUCA
rnacentral:tRNA from 1 species